AUGGAGAGGAGCCUGGGAGCUGUGCUGGGGCUGCUGUGGGUGCAGGUUUGCUGGGUCAGAGGGAUGCAGGUGGACCAAAAUCCUCCAGGCCUGAGUCUUCUUGAGGGAGCCGGCUCUGCUAUGAGAUGCAAUUUUUCUAUCACCACGAACAGUAUGCAGUGGUUUCGGCAGAAUCCCGGGGGCAGCCUACUCAGGCUGUUCCUCAUGACUCCAGGAACAAAGGAGAAUGGGAGGUUAAAGUCAACAUUCGACUCCAAGGAGCGCUACAGCACCCUGCACAUCAGAGAUGCCCAGCUGGAGGACUCAGGCACCUACCUCUGUGCUGCUGAUGCACAGUGCUCCCAGCAAGCCUGCAGCCUGGCCCCAAACUGCAGCUGCCUGUGCAGCUACAGCCCUGCCCCAGGGAGACUCUGCAGGAGGCUUUGCACAGCUGUGGGGUUUCUAAUUUAUGCUGUGUCCCUGUCAUCUCUGCUAACACUAGAGAGUUCAGAAUUGCUGUUUCCUAUCAGUGCGCCCUUUCCUUACAGAUACCCAUUUUCAGGAAGAAGUUCUCAUGAAGAGUACUGGGACAACUGA